AAAGAGACAUUGAAGCUGUCCUCUAAUUAAAGAGGAAAUGUUGCACUGUUAUUUGCAAUGUGUUGUUUACAUGCUUGACAUGGACAGCCCAGUUAAACCCAGGACUGAAGUUAGCUAACAGAAAGGAAGAGGAUCCUCUGAAUGAAUUAAUGAAUGACUCUUAUUAAAGACAACAAAAAGGAGCUCUAAGUCUAGAUUGUUAUUUAAUUGUAAUGACACGUGUUGAUCAACCCUGACCUCAAGGUCCCCUUUGUAUAGCAGUCUUGGAGCUUUCGAUUGUAUCACAUGCUCUUCGUCAGCAGACGGAGAUCGCUCAGUUGUUGUGGAAUUGAAGAUGUUCAGAUUUUCAUUUUUUGAGCACUUUAAGGACUUCUCAUCCAUGUUGGCUUAAAGUUCUUAUCAUAAGUUUAUUUGUGAAAUUGAAAAAUGCAGUUAGCAAAAAAAUCCACCACAGUGUCCAAGGAGCUGCUGUUUCCAAGGAAGACAGGUCCCUCCCAGCCAUUGUUCUCCUCACACAGAGGUCAUCAACAUCAUCAUGGUGGUCCUGCGGCACAGGAAGAAACAAUGACACCAGGGGAGAGGGGCUUCCUAUGGAGGCUGGGGAUUCAUAGUGACUUAAGAGGUUAGCAUAAGUCAGCCUGUAAACAUUUACUUUAGAAAAUGUGCAUUAGGACUACCAGUAGGGGGUUUAGUGACAAAACAAAUACCAACAUAUGUCAAUUGAAGUUAUUCAUUUAUUUAUUUCUGUAAAUUCUGUAGUUACACAAAAGGAUACCACUGUUACCACUGCUGCUUUGUCUAUUAGUACAGUACAGUGUUGAUGAAUUGUUGAUUAAUAGCCACCAAAGUACAGCACCAAAUGUGUAUUAUUUCCUCCUGUUUGAGUAACGUUUGUUAAUAAUAACAGUGACCAGCUGACCUUUCUGUUUACAACAAGACUUCAUAUUUGUGUAUGUUAUAUAUUAUAUCAGUAGAAAUGGCCUGAAAUGACACAUGAAAUAACUUAAGGCAUUGGCGCAUUAUUCAUAUAUAUAUUGACACAGAAACUAAUGGGCCUGGGGUUGAACAGUGUUACCAGCUGUACAAUAAUCGUCAUAUUUAAUUAAAAAGCAUAAUAAAAUCAGCAUUGUCAUGUUUUGUCAGUUCAAAAAAAUCAGCAUACAUGAUAGGAUGGGCUGUCUGUCCUGUAGCCUCCAUAAUGAAAGUUGACCUGUAGUCCAUUUCAGCCAAUUGAACUCAUGGAUAUAUUGUGAAAAGGCUGUAUAGGUCUGCGCAGUUCUGGG
rnacentral:lncRNA from 1 species